CCUACGGGUGGCUGCAGUCGAGAAUCUUCGGCAAUGGGCGCAAGCCUGACCGAGCGACGCCGCGUGCGGGAUGAAGGCCCUCGGGUUGUAAACCGCUGUCGAGGGGGAUGAAAUUCCGGUGGGUUCUCCCAUCGGAUUGACAGAUCCCUGGAGGAAGGGUGGGCUAAGUUCGUGCCAGCAGCCGCGGUAAGACGAACCACCCAAACGUUAUUCGGAAUUACUGGGCUUAAAGAGUGCGUAGGCGGCCCGGAAAGUAAGGUGUGAAAUCCCACAGCUCAACUGUGGAACUGCGCUUUAAACUACCGGGCUAGAGGGAUACAGAGGUAAGCGGAACUGAUGGUGGAGCGGUGAAAUGCGUUGAUAUCAUCAGGAACACCGGUGGCGAAGGCGGCUUACUGGGUAUCUUCUGACGCUGAGGUACGAAAGCUAGGGGAGCGAAC
rnacentral:rRNA from 1 species